rnacentral:lncRNA from 1 species
CAAUUAUAUUUUUAAAGGGUAUUCAAACUAAAGUUUGGAGGGCCAUAAACUCAUUGUGUUAUCUAGAGCCACAACUAAUCGGAGAAGUUUAAUUAUUCUAGCACUAAUGGAAUGGGCUUUUAUUACUACUUAAGCCAACCAGGAAUGUCGUUUAAAAUAGAACGAAAGGCUGAAAAUGGAGAGUCGUUCGGACUGAGCAUGAAGCUCAAUAGCAUGCCACAUGCAAGGCCAUUUCGGACAAGAAUAUAUAUGGAAAAAUCAUAUUUGGCCCAGUGAAAUCCCAAACUAGGGAAUAAACCAACUCCAGCCGACCGGGGGACUCCAUUUCGAGUCCUUCCCCACAGAACGUCUGUUACUACUUUCCCAAUUACGAAUCAAGCUGUUUUAAGAACUCUAACAAUUAACGAUCGAAAUCUAUAGUUGAGUCAUUUCUUGAUACUAAUCCCUUAUUAUCCCGAUUACAUGCCAACCUUACCUUGUUCAACUUGAAAGCAAAUGCGUAUUUAAAUUGACACUUACUUUUGGACAUUAUCUAAUUAGCACAAAUUGCCCACUCUGAUUGUAAAGAGUAUAACGAACUACUAGGCCCGAGAAACAAGCCCCAAGCAACAAUGACAGAUCAAUUUUCUGCAAAAGAAUUCAUAUUCCAAAACUUAAGGCUCAGAACAUUCAAUGAUCAAAAUCGAGGACCUUCAGCCUCAAUAUCGAAUCUAAGCUGGUUCAAAACAACCAUAAUUAAAAGAUGAACACGUCUUACCAAAUAAAAUCACUACCCUGUGACCAACAUACCCAAAACACUUCGAGUAUUACCUACAGCUCAUAUCCAGAGUUAACUCAUAUAGAAAAGGAGACCAACUAAACAAAUAUAACUUUAAUACAGUCCAUGGUCAUUUAAAUUACAUAAUGGAAAGCAAGGUCUACGUAUUGACUCAUUUUACACACUCUAACAUAAUGUCUAGCAGGUCAUAAUCAUUUUUCUCCAACAGAAUCAUAUCCAAAACCUCAAUUGAGCACACAUCAUUUAGGAAGAGCUGGAAACGAAAAUAGAUACAAAAACUAACGAUGAACUAAUGGUUUAACAAUUAAGCAUCAGAAUUCCAUUUUGAUUCCUCAAUCUCCAUUUUUGAGUAUCACAUUGUGUGAGUUUCAGGAAUGUGUACCUGGUAUUGAACAAACCAAAUACGCAGAAAGUGAGAUAUCAGCAAGUAACAGCAGGAUAGCAGAAUCAACACCAAUUAGACCAAUUCAAACCAUAAAAUAAAGUAAAAUAGCUUAGAAAAUAAUUUCAGCCCAAGCGAUGAACCAGGAAGCGUCAAACCAGACUCGAUCUUAAUUAAUUUCAACUGUCAGUUAAUCAGAAAUUAUUUCACCACUAGGAAAACUUCAGAAAUUACCAAAAAGAAUUCAAUGAAAAAAAAAAUUUCUAAAGUUUUCAGCCGUUUUGAUUUUUUCUGAUUUCUAUCUCUUCAAUUUCUAACUUCAGAGUCAAGUUAGGAUGCCUUUAUAGGAAAGGGAAGUAGGGCAGCCUAAAAAAGUUCAGUUUUGCUAUUUGGCCAGUUGCAAAAUUUUUUUUUGCUUAGAUGACAUAUGGUAAUUAAUAGAUUUUCAAAAACAAUCCAAAAUCCAGCUUCUCAGAAGCUUCUUAGGCAGUUACCUAAGAUUCCCUUAGGCUAGUUACCCAGGUUACACCCCUCCCCCUUACCCUUGUUUAUUACUGUAUGAAACCAGGCGGGUCAAGAGUGACCCAAGGUUCAGUUCUUAACAUUGGGCUUAGCCAAAUUGGGUCAAGUUCCUUUGUUGGGCUUCUAGUUUCAAAAUCCAAAUCACAAUUUAUGACACUUUUAAAAUUGGCCAGCCCUAAAGAAGAGAAGAGAAACAUGGGUCUCUUUAGAAAUAAAAAUAAAAGAAAAAAGAACAAACCUAAGCAACUAUCAAUCACGCAGAUAAUUCACUAGAAACUUAUUUGAACUAGUCUAAAAUUAAAUUGAACACAUAAAAAUACAAGAAGCAAGGAAAGAAAUGGAGAAAAGAAUCAAGCAAAGAGUAAUACUGGUUUUGGCCGAAGAAUCAACGAAGGCUGCGUGCUUGAUUAGGCGACUGAGUAAUUGACUGGAAUCCGCCAUGCUUCGAAAUGAAACCAAGAUGAUACCAGACGGUUGUUCUUGCAAAGAACAAAUGCUUGGCAUAAACUUCGGCACAAAGUAGACCACAGGGAUCAAAAGAAUUGAUCAAUUCAACGGAUUUCGAUUUCUUAUGUUCUUUGGGGAUUUCAGAUCCGAAAUUGGGGUAAAUUUUGCUGGGUAUUAGAAAAAAUGAUGAUGUAUUUUGGAGAGAAGGAAGGGUGAGGAUUGCAUGGUUGAAUUUUGGGGGUGAUUGAGGAGGUGAAACGCCUGUAACAAUGGCGAAACUUUAAGGCUGCUAGGGUUGAGAUGGGAGAGAUGAGAGAUGGACGAGGGGGGAUGUUUGGGAACUGAACUGAUCUCUUAGGACAUUUUUAAUCAAAGGUGAGGAUGGCUUCAAAGUCGUUGGAUAAG